AUGCGUAUAUUCAAUACAAUCCCUAUGGCAACACGGCUGUUACCUCUCACAAACUUUUCUGCGUUCUUGGGUGGGAGGAAAAGGGCUAGAGAUGCUGCCUACACCUCUGGACGCGCCCGUGGGGCUGUGAGAUACACGUCGAAGCCAUCUUUCUUGUGCUUUAAGGUGAGGAAUCUGAGUACUGAAGUUGUGGUUUUUGUCUGGGUUGAAUCAGUUAGUGAACAGCAGAGUCAAGACUCCAACCAGGGUGGACUGAGGAGCCAAGCCCCCGGGGGAGGGGUGCUGUGCAGAGCACCUCACAAUGCCAGUCUUUCUCCGAUACUAACUUUCUCUUUUUCCCAUUUUGGCCCUACUCGGAGGAGAGCUGAGUUUCUUCCAGAGCGACAAUGCAGAGAGAUGAGUCUCCCACUCAGCCUGAACACAAAGGGGACCUUUCACUGGGAGCCGUCGAUCCCUGGGAAAAAAGAAGCAAUCAUGAGAGGGGAUGAAGCAUCCUUUUUGUUUUUUCAUGAAUGAAUGCCUGUGUAACAAAAUAAAAAUAUUUUGAUUCAGCA
rnacentral:lncRNA from 1 species